UGUUUUGCAUGCUCCUCCCAACAACCCCUGGUGUCAGAACUCAUAUCAUUACCUGAGCCGGAGCUCUGGGAUACCUGCACCAGGGAGGUCCCAGCAUUCAUCAUGGAAGGCCUGGCUUGCCUCCUCUGUCUCCUGUUUCUCUGGGUCCCAGAUUCCAGUGGACAAACCCUGUUGACCCAGACUCCAGCCUCCUUGGCUGUGUCUCCAGGAGAAACGGCCACGGUCAAUUGCAGGGCCAGUCAGAGUGUGAGUAAAUACCUAGCAUGGUACCAGCAGAAACCUGGGCAGGCUCCCAAGCUUCUCAUCUAUGAUGCCUCCAGCAGGGCCACUGGUGUCCCAGCCCGGUUCAGUGGCAGCGGGUCAGGGACAGACUUCACUCUCACCAUCAGCAGCCUGCAGCCUGAGGAUGUUGCUGUUUAUCACUGUUACCAGUAUAGUAAUGGGUGA